ACCCUAGAUCAGUCUCUCCUUUUCUCUCCUUCUCACACUAAAAACCCUAGAUCUAUUUUGCUCUUCAUCUCUGUUUCUUUCACUCUCUUGUUGUUUCACUCUCAUCUCAGCCACCGUCAUCCUCUCUCCCUCCAAGAUUUUUAGAAGAAUUGGAGCAAAAAGUAACAUUGCUAGGAAAAGGAGCCAGUCUUGAAAGUGUACCAUGUCUCCCACGCCAAAAUCACUUGGAGGUGGAGUUUGAAGAAAUGAAGGAGUUGACGGAUAGAUGCAAGGUCAACGGUUUGGUCAAUUGCAAAAAUAGACCACACCGUAGACUUCGAGUUAUUGUCUCUGCGUAGAGGCUUGUUGAUGUCUACUCGUAUGACAUCUACAUGAAGUCGGCAAAAUUUGAAAACUAAUUUAUUGCAAAUUGGAACGGUGGUGGACAAAGUGGUGGAGGAGCUCGAGCAGCGGUUUUCAGUGCUUCACGGCAUCAAUCGGAGCUCAGAUACACAAUUGAUCAAACCAGAAAAUCAUAUCUUUGGCCUCUCACCAUUUCUCAACUUGUUCUUGUAUACUUCAAGAAGGCUGCAAUUAGAAAAUCCAAAGAGUCGAUUGGUAAUGUAUUAUUGGUAUUGUUGGAUUGGUAAUGUAUUGUUCGAUUGGUAAUGUAUUAUUGGUUUGAGAUUUGUUUGAGAACUGUGUUAAAUCAGGUUUCAUGGUCGUAUAACAAAACAAUAAAGUAAAACCUCUAUAAAUUAA